UACGUAGGGUGCGAGCGUUGUCCGGAAUUAUUGGGCGUAAAGAGCUCGUAGGCGGUCUGUCGCGUCGGUCGUGAAAACUUGGGGCUUAACCCUGAGCUUGCGGUCGAUACGGGCAUGACUGGAGUUCGGCAGGGGAGACUGGAAUUCCUGGUGUAGCGGUGAAAUGCGCAGAUAUCAGGAGGAACACCGGUGGCGAAGGCGGGUCUCUGGGCAGUAACUGACGCUGAGGAGCGAAAGCGUGGGGAGCGAACAGG
rnacentral:rRNA from 1 species